AACGAACGCUGGCGGCAUGCCUAACACAUGCAAGUCGAACGAGAUCUUCGGGUCUAGUGGCGCACGGGUGCGUAACGCGUGGGAAUCUGCCCUUUGGUUCGGAAUAACAGUUGGAAACGACUGCUAAUACCGGAUGAUGACGAAAGUCCAAAGAUUUAUCGCCAGAGGAUUAGCCCGCGUAGGAUUAGCUAGUUGGUGUGGUAAAGGCGCACCAAGGCGACGAUCCUUAGCUGGUCUGAGAGGAUGAUCAGCCACACUGGGACUGAGACACGGCCCAGACUCCUUCGGACGGCAGCAGUGGGGAAUAUUGGACAAUGGGCGAAAGCCUGAUCCAGCAAUGCCGCGUGAGUGAUGAAGGCCUUAGGGUUGUAAGGGUCUUUUACCCGGGAUGAUAAUGACAGUACCGGGGGGAUAAGCUCCGGCUAGCUCCGUGCCAGCCACCACCGUAA
rnacentral:rRNA from 1 species